GCCGCGGUGGCGGAACUGGUAGACGCACUGGCUUCAGGUGCCAGCGCUCGCAAGGGCAUGAGAGUUCGAGUCUCUCCCGCGGCACCA
rnacentral:tRNA from 1 species